UGGAGUUCUCUGAAGAGCCAUAGCUGAUCACGAAGAAGAGGAAGAAACCAAUGGCUGGCCUUCCAACAGAUGGGUUCUGGCAUCUGAUUUUUUCUGAUGUAGCGAGGCAACCCUGAUAUUCCCUGCUGAUGGUGCUCUCUACUCCUACAUCAGCUCCUGGGACUCUGCAGUGCCUGUAGCCAGCGACUCCUUGCAUGUGAUCAGUGCUUGGAGGAGACUGGGGAAGGAGUGAGGUGUGCAAGGCCAAAGUAGAGGCAAAAUUUAGAGACCUCCACUUAUGCCAUGCAAUUCUGCAAGAGCUGAUGGCCUAAAGAAAGGUAAGCUCAAUGCUUUUGUUCAUCUCUGGAAUAGUGAAGAACAUGUAUGAUAUCUAUUUGUCUUUAUUUUUGACUCAGUGUACAGUAUAGUCAACUUUUAAAAACCCCACUGCUUUUCAGUCAUUUUACUCCUAUUUUCUACAACACACAUUUGGUCAAUGAAUAGAUUUUUAGCUUUCCCCCACCAAUAUUUGGUUUACUGCUUGUGACAAUAGGUAAAAAAAGAGUCUGUGUGGUACUGCAUGUUCCCAAUGUUUCUCUCCUGCAGCAGCAGGAUUUGACAGGAGGGAGCAAGGCUGUUACAGCAGCACUGAGUGGUCACCACUCACCCAUCCAUGAAUGCCAAAUCCAUAUCCCCACAGACUGUCACCCUCAUUUCAGCUGGUUUUCCCGUAUCCCAACCUGAGGUAAAGUCAAUUUCCAUCCUCUAUUCUCUCCUUACCCUUCAGAAAGCCUGGCAGGUGUUGUGUUUAUUGCAGGAGCAGGCACAGAAACAGUCGAGCAGUGUUUCACUACCAGCUUUCCUUUGUACUGCAGAACCUUUUCACUGGGUACUCCGGUUUUGCAGCUCCUGCCAGCACGGAGCUGUGCUUGUGCCAGUGCAAUUUAAGUGGAAUAUUUCAUUAAGAGAUCAGCAGUAGGCACAUGGAAAUGACAGCGAUCAUUAAGUCUGCAUUACUUUGUUUGCAUUAGGGAUGUGUAGAGCCCCAGGCACAGACAGGGCUGCACAGCACAGGGGGAAGCCAGCCCUGUGUAAAUCACUUUAGAUUGCCCUGAGACAGACCCUGUGCCUUAACCACGGGGUGGCCAGGCUCUGGUAGCUGUUCCUAGAGGUUGAGAUGCCACAGUAAUGAAUUUGACAGAAAAGAAUAAGGAGAUACCAGGUGAAUUUGCCCCUGGCAAUGGCGUGUGGUUGAUUCACACCAUUUCUGAGCCCCGAGCAGAGGUACUUUUCAUUACACAAAUCCCUGCAACGUGAUUAGUUUGCCUAAUACUUGCCCUGCUUUUUCUC